rnacentral:rRNA from 1 species
AGCGCAAGCGGUUUUUUAAGUUCUGAUGUGAAAGCCCUUGGCUCAACCAAGGAAGUGCAUCGGAAACUGGAGAACUUGAGUGCAGAAGAGGACAGUGGAACUCCAUGUGUAGCGGUGAAAUGCGUAGAUAUAUGGAAGAACACCAGUGGCGAAGGCGGCUGUCUGGUCUGUAACUGACGCUGAGGCUCAAAGCAUGGGUAGCGAACA